UUUUAACUGCCGGGAGGACAUUA
rnacentral:rRNA from 1 species